rnacentral:miRNA from 1 species
UCAAUUCAGGAUGGUGCAUAUGU